rnacentral:rRNA from 1 species
UAGGGAAUCUUCGGCAAUGGGGGCAACCCUGACCGAGCAACGCCGCGUGAGUGAAGAAGGUUUUCGGAUCGUAAAGCUCUGUUGUAAGAGAAGAACGUGGGUGAGAGUGGAAAGUUCACACAGUGACGGUAACUUACCAGAAAGGGACGGCUAACUACGUGCCAGCAGCCGCGGUAAUACGUAGGUCCCGAGCGUUGUCCGGAUUUAUUGGGCGUAAAGCGAGCGCAGGCGGGUUAAUAAGUCUGAAGUUAAAGGCAGUGGCUUAACCAUUGUUCGCUUUGGAAACUGUUAAACUUGAGUGCAGAAGGGGAGAGUGGAAUUCCAUGUGUAGCGGUGAAAUGCGUAGAUAUAUGGAGGAACACCGGUGGCGAAAGCGGCUCUCUGGUCUUUAACUGACGCUGAGGCUCGAAAGCGUGGGGAGCAAACAGG